GACGAACGCUGGCGGCGUGCUUAACACAUGCAAGUCGAACGGAAAGGCCCUGCUUUUGUGGGGUGCUCGAGUGGCGAACGGGUGAGUAACACGUGAGUAACCUGCCCUUGACUUUGGGAUAACUUCAGGAAACUGGGGCUAAUACCGGAUAGGAGCUCCUGCUGCAUGGUGGGGGUUGGAAAGUUUCGGCGGUUGGGGAUGGACUCGCGGCUUAUCAGCUUGUUGGUGGGGUAGUGGCUUACCAAGGCUUUGACGGGUAGCCGGCCUGAGAGGGUGACCGGCCACAUUGGGACUGAGAUACGGCCCAGACUCCUACGGGAGGCAGCAGUGGGGAAUAUUGCACAAUGGGCGGAAGCCUGAUGCGGCAACGCCGCGUGCGGGAUGACGGCCUUCGGGUUGUAAACCGCUUUCGCCUGUGACGAAGCGUGAGUGGCGGUAAUGGGUAAAGAAGCACCGGCUAACUACGUG
rnacentral:rRNA from 1 species